UCUGACUGAAGCUUCCGGGUGAUAGGCUUCUGUAUUUUAGAGGGGGCUCAAGAGGAGGAGAAACAUAUUCACUGUAUCCUGUGCAAUUGACAUUGUUCUGUUUAUAGUUAAGCCAGUGAUCAGCACAGAGACGGCAGAAAAUUCUUGAAAGAAUGAUGAAAUUAUAAUCAUCCUUGGACUCACCAUUGGGAUACUUAUAACACUUUUACUUUAAAACUCUCUCGUGGGAAAUAAGAAUGCAAAAGAUUAGCCCUGAGCUAACUACUGCCAAUCUUCCUCUUUUUGCUGAGGAAGACUGGCCCUGAGCUAAUGUCCAUGCCCAUCUUCCUCUAUUUUAUACGUGGGACGCCUACCAGAGCAUGGCUUUUGCCAAGCGGUGCCAUGUCCACACCCAGGAUCUGAACCGGCGAACGCCGGGCCACCGAGAAGCAGAACGUGAGAACUUAACCACUGCGCCACGGGCCAGCCCCAGUCUUUCCUUUUUAUUUUCAGAAGAACCUCAGGAAAAACUUGAGGAACGUAAGAAAAAGUUCGAGGAACUUAAGAAAAAGUUUGGUAAGUUGUUCAUAUCCCUCUACUUCCAUAGGUCUUUUGGAUGACUGGUUUCUUGGUCUCUUUGAGAUUCGUUGCCAUUUUAUCUCUAAGCCAACCAUUGGCACACACUUCUCCUAGAUGUUGACUGUUCUCUGACAAAAUGGAUGAUGCUGGGCUUCUCCCAUUCUAAGUUCUGUCAGUUUCCAUUCCUCUUCCCAACAUCUACUUCCAUUUCUGCUAUGCAUUUCAUCCCAUGCCAUCCCUGGAAACAUUGGCUUCUUCGUCCCUGCAGACAUUUCCCAGGGUUUCAUUGAUAAGGCGGCAAAACAAAGGACAUUACGGUGAUAGGCGUAUGGGUUUCAUUCUAUAUACAUUUCUGAAAAGCAUCCUAACUUAACACUUCUUUCGUAUGUUCCAAGUUUGAGGGGCCAUGACUAUGCAACUCAUACUUAGGCAAUACAGCGAAAGAGAAGACAAGAUCCCAAAGUGCUGAGUGAAGCAUCUCUAUCCAUUGUGUGUUCAAAGUUGUUAUAACUGAUAUCACUCAUUGGUCAGGUAUGACCUGAAGGUCAACUCCCUUUGUCCUCAAACGUAUUACCCAAGUGUCCUCAUGCAUGUAAAUACCUUACAUAUUUUCUCCUACCUUUUAGAAAAUUUCCAACCACACUGAUCGCCCUCAUUCUUUGGCAUUUUUAUUGCCACAAUGAUCAAAUUGGCAAGCUGCAAUUUCUUCUAAAUAUUGGUAGAAUUGUAUGACCUAAGGAAGAUUCAAAUCUAAUGUAUCUCAAUUCUUAAUUUGUUACGUAACAACAUAGGCCACUAUUUUCCUGGCCUGAUCCCAAAGGACACUUAAUAGAAUCCUGACAUUUUUACAUCCUCCUUUUCCAAUGACAUUUUCCAGUUAUACUCUUGUUUUCUGUGGAACUGAAUUUACAAAUUUAUCUCAACAAUGUACAUACUCCAUUUCAUAUGACAACAGGUCCAUGUAGAGAUUGGGACAGAUGGAUGCCUUUACUGUCCGCUUCCUCAUCACUUUGGAGUGCUGAAUUCAUGUAUGUUGGCAUGUCUGCAUCAUCUUUUCAAAAGUGGGACAGCUGGACAAAAGAGACUUACU
ensembl:lncRNA